GACGAACGCUGGCGGCGUGCUUAACACACGCAAGUCGAACGGAAAGGCCCUGCUUUUGUGGGGUGCUCGAGUGGCGAACGGGUGAGUAACACGUGAGUAACCUGCCCUUGACUUUGGGAUAACUUCAGGAAACUGGGGCUAAUACCGGAUAGGAGCUCCUGCUGCAUGGUGGGGGUUGGAAAGUUUCGGCGGUUGGGGAUGGACUCGCGGCUUAUCAGCUUGUUGGUGGGGUAGUGGCUUACCAAGGCUUUGACGGGUAGCCGGCCUGAGAGGGUGACCUGCCAAAUUGGGACUGAGAUACGGCCCAGACUCCUACGGGAGGCAGCAGUGGGGAAUAGUGCACAAUGGGCGGAAGCCUGAUGCAGCAACGCCGCGUGCGGGAUGACGGCCUUCGGGUUGUAUACCGCUUUCGCCUGUGACGAAGCGUGAGUGACGGUAAUGGGUAAAGAAGCACCGGCUAACUACGUG
rnacentral:rRNA from 1 species